CCUGAGAAACCCGAAAGAUCGAAUGGGGAGAUUCAUCGUCAGCGAUUCCGGCGCUUCCGCGGUUCGUGAUGCCGCGGGGACUUCGGUCCUCGUGGGUACGCGUCCGCGGGAGACCUCCGCCGGAUGUCGUCGGCGUGCACUUCUCCCCUAGUAGAACGUCGCGACCCGUUGGGCGUCGGUCUACGACUCGGGCGGGAGCCUGUCACGCGUACGGCACCCUUCGCGGGGUGUCAUGUGGCUGACAGAUCCCCGGUCGUCCGACCAGCUGCUCGGCGGUACUCGCACGGUAUAGAGCCGCAAAAAUUUUGAACGCGUCCGGCCCGCCGCAAGUGAGGCCAGUGCAUCCGGAUCUGUACGGACUUUGCGCCGUCGCCGGGCCUGGCCAGCUGCUGGCUGGCGGUGUCCUGGGACUGGCUCCGAUUGAUAUACCGGUCGGCGACGCUACUGCUUCGGGUACUUUCAGGACCCGUCUUGAAACACGGACCAAGGAGUCUAACAUGUGCGCGAGUCAUUGGGCUCUGCGAAACCUAAAGGCGAAAUGAAAGUGAAGGUCCGCCUCGCGCGGACCGAGGGAGGAUGGGCAGCCUACGACGCUGUCCCGCACUCCCGGGGCGUCUCGUUCUCAUACCGAGAAGAGGCGCACCCAGAGCGUACACGUUGGGACCCGAA
rnacentral:rRNA from 2 species